GGCGCUGGGGUGAAAAGGAAGGCGCGCGAGCGGGAAGGGCGGAAAGGAACUGUGAAGAAGAAGUAGAAGAAGAAACUCUCGUCGUUGUUAUUUUGAUCAUGUCGCUGCCAUCUUCGGUGGUGGUUCUCGACAAUGGCGGCGGACUCUGCAAGGCAGGCAUUGGAGGAGACCGGGACCCGAUUGCGGUCGUCCCCAACUGUAUGGGCCGAUCGUCCACCGGCAGCCAUCACCAUCACGGCUCGAAUAAGUCGAAGAAGUGGCUUGUCGCCGAUCAGCUCCAGGAUUCGGACGACGUCAUGUCCAUCCGGCGACCGCUGGACAGGGGUUAUCUCAUCAACCCUGACCUCCAGAAGGAGAUAUGGGAUCGAAUCUUCAAGGCCCUCCUCAAGGUCGACCCUUCCGACUCCUCGUUACUCCUGGUUGAGCCCCUCUUCAACCUCCCCUCGAUUCAGCGUUCCACCGACGAGCUAGUCUUUGAGGACUUUGGGUUUCAGUCGCUCUACGUAGCUGACUCGCCCUCCCUCGUUCACCUCUACGAGACCAGCCGUUGCCCUCCAGACAGGGUCAUGGCAACGAGCCAAUGCAGCCUCGUCGUUGACUGCGGCUUCUCCUUCACCCACGCGGCGCCCGUGUUCCAGAACUUCACGCUCAAUUACGCCGUCAAGAGGCUGGACCUCGGGGGCAAGGCUCUCACCAACUACCUCAAGGAGCUCGUCUCUUAUCGCUCCAUCAACGUUAUGGACGAGACCUUCAUCAUGGACGAUGUCAAGGAGAAAUUGUGCUGCGUGUCGCUCAACGUCCCUCGUGAUCUUCAGGUGGCUAGAAAAACAGGGAAAGAUAAUCUUUUCAGGUGCUCAUAUACCCUCCCUGAUGGUGUGGCACAGCUUAAAGGCUAUGUCAAAGAUCCUAAAGAAACACAGAGAUACCUAACUUUAGCAGAUGAUACACCAGCAGAUCCACCCCAAGGGAAUAUUGGGGAAUCAGGAGAGCUUCUUGAAGGUGACAGAUCUAAAGACUCAAGAAGUAUCGACUUGACAAAUAAUGAAGAAAUUGUCCUCACUAAUGAGCGCUUCCUUGUCCCUGAAAUGCUCUUUCAUCCUGCUGAUUUGGGGAUGAAUGAAGCUGGACUUGCCGAGUGCAUCGUCCGAGCUAUUGAGGCCUGUCAUCCUUACCUCCAUCCAGUGCUUUUUAAUAGCAUUAUUUUGACGGGUGGGAGCACACAGUUCCCUCGAUUUGCUGAAAGACUAAAAAGAGAGCUUCGGCCACUUGUCUGUGAUGAAUACCAAGUAACUAUAACAACUCAAGAAGAUCCAACUUUGGGUGUUUGGAGAGGUGGAUCACUUUUGGCAUCUAGCCCAGAUUUUGAAGCAAUGUGUGUGACAAAAUCCGAGUAUGAGGAGCUUGGAUCUGCUCGCUGCCGACGCAGGUUUUUGCACUGACGAUCACAAAAUGUCAUAUAUGCAAAGGCGGAUAUAGAUGCUGAAAGAUGGAAUUGAAUAACGUGAGUCAAGAGAUGUUCGAUGUCUUAUCUUUAGCUACAUUGGAUAACAGCAUCAUCCACUGCAUCAACAGCCAAUCAGCUAAAUGAAAAUGGCUGCCAUAGAGGUUAUCAUUUUCAUGUGGGAAUCGCAAGAACAGAGCGCUAAACUAUUUACAUGAGCAGGCAUUCAGAAAAAUGGGCUUCCUGUCCUUUUCUCGUCAGCCACGGUUGGCCGGGCAUUUUUGCCAGGUUGUACAGCGAUGAUUAUCAUACUCUUUGCCUUUGAACUCAAUGGUCGAUAAUUCAGUCUGAAAACAUGAAGAAGUACUGGAAAAGGCACUGGCAUAUGAAAAUAAUUGUGUAUUUAUAACGCUGGUCGUUCAUUGAUAAAACUAUGAUUUUGGUAGGCAUAUUUACAUAGCCGCCGACGGCCGGCGCCGGAGCAGCUUCCAUUGAAUUAUAUAUAUCCAUGUUAGAAAAUGUGCACCUAAUACUAAAACAAUAAAUUCGGCUGGUAAGAUGGCUGUUUGAUUUUGGA